AUUGAACGCUGGCGGCAGGCUUAACACAUGCAAGUCGAACGAGUGGCGGACGGGGGAGUAAUGUCUUGGACACUGCCUGAUGGAGGGGGUUAACUACUGGUAACGGUAGCUAAUACCGCAUCCCAUCGGAUGUGCCCCGAUGGGAUUAGUUAGUAGGUGGGGUAACGGCUCACCUAGGCGACGAUCCCUAGCUGGUCUGAGAGGCUGACAAGCCACACUGGAACUGAGACAGCGACAAUGGGCCUACGGGAGGCAGCAGAGGGGAACAGUGGGCAGUGGGCGCAAGUCUGAUGCAGUCAGGCCGCGUCUAUGGAGAAGGCCUUGGGUGUGUAAAGUACUUUCAGCGGUGGGGCGUUAGUCGCAGAAGAAGCACCGGCUAACUCCGUGCCAGCAGCCGCGGUAAUAC
rnacentral:rRNA from 1 species